rnacentral:rRNA from 1 species
AUUGAACGCUGGCGGCAGGCCUAACACAUGCAAGUCGAGCGGCAGCGGGAAAGUAGCUUGCUACUUUUGCCGGCGAGCGGCGGACGGGUGAGUAAUGCCUGGGAAAUUGCCCAGUCGAGGGGGAUAACAGUUGGAAACGACUGCUAAUACCGCAUACGCCCUACGGGGGAAAGCAGGGGACCUUCGGGCCUUGCGCGAUUGGAUAUGCCCAGGUGGGAUUAGCUAGUUGGUGAGGUAAUGGCUCACCAAGGCGACGAUCCCUAGCUGGUCUGGAAGGAUGAUCAGCCCCACUGGAACUGAGACACGGUCCAGACUCCUACGGGAGGCAGCAGUGGGGAAUAUUGCACAAUGGGGGAAACCCUGAUGUAGCCAUGCCGCGUGUGUGAAGAAGGCCUUCGGGUUGUAAAGCACUUUCAGCGAGGAGGAAAGGUUGAUGCCUAAUACGUAUCAACUGUGACGUUACUCGCAGAAGAAGCACCGGCUAACUCCGUGCCAGCAGCCGCCGGUAA